AUUGAACGCUGGCGGCAGGCCUAACACAUGCAAGUCGAACGGUAACAGGAAGCAGCUUGCUGCUUUGCUGACGAGUGGCGGACGGGUGAGUAAUGUCUGGGAAACUGCCUGAUGGAGGGGGAUAACUACUGGAAACGGUAGCUAAUACCGCAUAACGUCGCAAGACCAAAGAGGGGGACCUUAGGGCCUCUUGCCAUCGGAUGUGCCCAGAUGGGAUUAGCUAGUAGGUGGGGUAACGGCUCACCUAGGCGACGAUCCCUAGCUGGUCUGAGAGGAUGACCAGCCACACUGGAACUGAGACACGGUCCAGACUCCUACGGGAGGCAGCAGUGGGGAAUAUUGCACAAUGGGCGCAAGCCUGAUGCAGCCAUGCCGCGUGUAUGAAGAAGGCCUUCGGGUUGUAAAGUACUUUCAGCGGGGAGGAAGGGAGUAAAGUUAAUACCUUUGCUCAUUGACGUUACCAGCAGAAGAAGCACCGGCUAACUCCGUG
rnacentral:rRNA from 1 species